UAUUGGUCAAUGGGCGCAAGCCUGAACCAGCCAUGCCGCGUGCAGGAAGAAUGCCCUAUGGGUUGUAAACUGCUUUUAUUUGGGAAUAAACCCAGGGUCGUGCACCCUGGCUGAAGGUACCAAAUGAAUAAGCACCGGCUAACUCCGUGCCAGCAGCCGCGGUAAUACGGAGGGUGCAAGCGUUAUCCGGAAUCAUUGGGUUUAAAGGGUCCGCAGGCGGGCUUAUAAGUCAGUGGUGAAAGCCUACAGCUCAACUGUAGAACUGCCAUUGAUACUGUAAGUCUUGAAUUCGGUCGAAGUGGGCGGAAUAUGACAUGUAGCGGUGAAAUGCUUAGAUAUGUCAUAGAACACCGAUAGCGAAGGCAGCUCACUAGGCCUGGAUUGACGCUCAGGGACGAAAGCGUGGGGAUCAAACAGG
rnacentral:rRNA from 1 species